rnacentral:rRNA from 1 species
AUUGAACGCUGGCGGCAGGCCUAACACAUGCAAGUCGAGCGGCAGCGGGAAAGUAGCUUGCUACUUUUGCCGGCGAGCGGCGGACGGGUGAGUAAUGCCUGGGGAUCUGCCCAGUCGAGGGGGAUAACUACUGGAAACGGUAGCUAAUACCGCAUACGCCCUACGGGGGAAAGCAGGGGACCUUCGGGCCUUGCGCGAUUGGAAGAACCCGGGUGGGAUUAGCUAGUUGGUGAGGUAAUGGCUCACCAAGGCGACGAUACCUAGCUGGUCUGAGAGGAUGAUCAGCCACACUGGAACUGAGACACGGUCCAGACUCCUACGGGAGGCAGCAGUGGGGAAUAUUGCACAAUGGGGGAAACCCUGAUGCAGCCAUGCCGCGUGUGCGAAGAAGGCCUUCGGGUUGUAAAGCACUUUCAGCGAGGAGGAAAGGUUGGUAGCUAAUAACUGCCAGCUGUGACGUUACUCGCAGAAGAAGCACCGGCUAACUCCGUGCCAGCAGCCGCGGUAACAC